UCUCCUGGAAACGGGUGGUAAUGCCGGAUGUUCCACAUGAGCGCAUGCGAGUGUGGGAAAGGCUUUUUGCGGCAUGGGAUGGGGUCGCGUCCUAUCAGCUUGUUGGUGGGGUAACGGCCUACCAAGGCGUUGACGGGUAGCCGGCCUGAGAGGGCGACCGGCCACAUUGGGACUGAGAUACGGCCCAGACUCCUACGGGAGGCAGCAGUGGGGAAUAUUGCACAAUGGGCGCAAGCCUGAUGCAGCGACGCCGCGUGCGGGAUGGAGGCCUUCGGGUUGUAAACCGCUUUUGUUCAAGGGCAAGGCACGGUUUCGGCCGUGUUGAGUGGAUUGUUCGAAUAGGCACCGGCUAACUACGUGCCAGCAGCCGCGGUAAUACGUAGGGUGCAAGCGUUAUCCGGAUUUAUUGGGCGUAAAGGGCUCGUAGGCGGUUCGUCGCGUCCGGUGUGAAAGUCCAUCGCUUAACGGUGGAUCCGCGCCGGGUACGGGCGGGCUUGAGUGCGGUAGGGGAGACUGGAAUUCCCGGUGUAACGGUGGAAUGUGUAGAUAUCGGGAAGAACACCA
rnacentral:rRNA from 1 species